CGCUUCCUGCCACCCUGGAGAGACAGAAAAACUGAGAUCGGAGGGUUCUUUGAAGUAUAACUCCCGUUCAGUGCUACCCAGCACGCGACCCCUCACUGCCUUCCAAAGACUUCGUGCAUCUCAGGAAUCCAGAGAGCCCAUCUGGUGACAGCGGACCCUCGGGUACAAGAAGCGGAGUAUACGCGGGCGGAACUGGAACCCGACGGGAGGGCAGGGGAGGGCGUGCAGGACUCAGUACAGCCUGGAGCAGCAGACAAGCUCCCUCAUCCCACCCUCGGCUCCCCGGGGCACAGGAAGAGCACACUUGGUUGGUUGUCAGCCGCUGAGAUCUCACCAUCUGUGCCACACACGGCAGCAACAAUGGCUGCUGUGAAGUGGGUCAAGAAGUCUGGCGCUCAACUGGACGCUGGUGGCACGAGAGACUAGAGGAUGUCACCAACCCCGCCUGACCACAUUUCCCCUGACUACAGCUAUAUGUAAGAGGUAGAGAGAGAGAUCGAAAGAUAACCAGUGUCAACAUCUGGCCACGUCUGAGCGGGAACCCCGGCACACACAUUUCUCCAGGCAAGUGCACGUGGAGGGAAAAACAAAAAUCCCGGCACCCGAAAAUAUUCUAAUCAGUGUCCCGACUCAGUCCUGGGUCCGAGGAAAUCAAACCAAAGCAGCAUCUUGUUCAUAGACUAAUGAUUGGGGCACGCUUCCUACCGCAGGCACCGACGCAGCUCACCGGAGAGUGGGCUGAGGAAAGUCAACUGUCAAGCGUUCCUUAGUUUUACUAUCUGUGGGGAAAUACGUGCGACUGAAACAUGACAGACAUGGACUCUACCUCUUGGCUCUAGGACACCGAGUACUGCCUGUACCCAAAGGCCGAUGUACUACUACCCAGCUGGCUACGUGCCCUACUACCCAUGGCCUCCCAGGGCCCAGCUUCCUGCUGCUGCCUUUCUCCUGGCUGCACUUGCCUCACUCCCAGUAGGGCAGGGAGGAGCUCUGGAUCUGUCCCACCCCAGGCCUUUCACCCAUGCACCACAGAACGGAAAGAAAAAAAUCAUCUUUAUUGAGGUGCAAUUCACGGGCAAGAAACACACGGUCACGUGAUUGAGGCUGCUGCACCCGAGGACAUUCUGCCUGUCGUGAGUGUUCCCAUUUCCCAUUUAACCCAAGAGUCCAGUCCUCCCCAGUGUCCUCUGCUAGUCAGAGGCUUGCUGCCGGAACAGAGUCUUGCCACUGGACAGGGCACACAGGAAGGACCCGGGCAUCCUACCAACAGCACCAGGAUUCUGAAGAGUCGCCCAGAGCUCCAGUCACCACAGAGGUCAUGGGAUUGUCCUGCUGCACAUCUGGGUUGCUGCUAGACGUGAGCAGUUCCGAAUAAAAAUGCAAGAGGGUUGUAGGGACAUGUUUUGCUUCUCCCCAGAAGGGACUGUGUGGGGGAGACAGGGAGUUAGCACAGUUGACUUUGCAAAGCAGAUGUACCACUUGCCACCCCGUGUCGUCGCCGGCACUUAGCGCUGUCUGGUUUUAAGCAUUAGCCUCUCUUGAAGGCAUGCCGUGGUCCCCCCACUGAUUGGUGAGGGACGAUCGUGAUAUUAGUCACACUUUCGCAUGCUCAGGGCUCAUCUGUUCAGAUCGUGCACAUUUUACUUUUAUUACACUUGCCCGGCGUGUGCACGUGCUUGCCACCACACGCAUGUGUAGGUCAGCAGACAAUGUACAGGAGUCGGUGCCUCUACUUGGGUCCCAGGAAUCUAGUGCAACUUGACAAGCGUGCUAACGGUUGUCUUUUUUCCCAAUGCUGGCCCAGAUCUUUCGAUCUUAAUUUAAAAACUUAGUCUUUAAGCUACGAGGGUUUUUAGGUAUUCUGAAUACAUACCCUAUAUGGAUAUUUUCUCCGAGGUGUGUCUUGCUUUGUUGAUCAUUUAAUGGUAUCUUUUGAUGCUCAGACUGAUAAUUGUAUCUUUUGGAGACUUUGCUCCCUGGAUCCUUAAUGCCUGCCUAAAGGAAGGACUCUUACCCUUGGCAUCCUAUCUGGGCAGAUGUGGUCUCCUUUCUAACCCCAGAACUUAGGACAACGGCUUGGAUGUUGAAUGUCCCCUGAAGGCCCACAUGUUGAAGGCUUUAUUCCCGGUGUGAUAUUACAGAAAGAUGAUGGUACUUUUCUUUCCUCUGUGUAGCCCUGACUAUCCUGUAACUCACUUGGUAGACCAGGCUGGCCUCGAACACACAGACAUCCACCUGCCUCUGCCUCUGUAAGUGCUGGUAUGUUCCACCAUACAUACCUAGCUGUUGAUGGUACGUAUAAAGGAAAGGACCUAGUGGGAAGUCUUUAGGUUACCAAGUGCACAACCUUGACCUUGAAGGGGAUCCAGCAAUUUCCUGUUUCCUUUGGUUACUGGCUGUGACGUGAGCGGCUGUGUUGUUUUCCCAGCUCCUGCCAUGGCCCUCUGCCUCACUACAGAACCAAAGCAAUAAGGCCAAGUCACUAUAUCACUCAAGAUAAACCUCUCCUUUUGAUCCGCUGAUUGUCGCAGGACUUCUAUUCAGUGGUAAGGAGGCACUUAGGACUCCUUAUGACGAGCUCCCUCAUUCCCGGUAUCCAUUUCAGUUCCCACAGGGACCUCUGUCGUUCUUGAACUCCAGGCCGUCUUUCCUCAGCGAGACACUUGUGCAGGGGUCUUUUUACACAUUCCUGGCUGUCCUGGAACUCAUUACAUAGACCAGAGUGGCCUCAGACUCACAGAAAGUCGCCUGCCUCUGCUUCCCGAGUGCUGGGAUUAAAGUUUUCAGCAAAGCAAAAAACCACACAUGCUGGUGUCGAGGACUACACAAGAGCGGCCCACUGAUUACAGCCUCAACGUUGUGGCAUGCUGGAAUGUUGCAGAUCCAGGGUCGAUUUCUCUCCGGCUAUGUUUAGUUCCCUGAAGAGCAGUCAUUGCUGGCUGCUGAGUCUGACCCAACAACACUUUGGAUUAAAUAAAACCUUUACAAUGUAUCAAUGGCUUCUGCCAACCCUGAAGCUGAGAACGUCCUGGGAGAGCAUCCAAAGCCCAUAGCAGAGACUCCUUCUUUGCUCGUCUGUAACCUGCCCACCUAGUUUUUCCACCAAUGGACUUGGGAAAUGCCUUGACUUGUGAUGUUCUUUUGUUCCGGGGGCAUAAAAGUUUGUGCAACUGCUUCUAUGUCAGGACAAGCUAGUUAGAGCAAUCGGAGUCUGCAUUCCUGAGCCACGGCCCCUCAUAUUGGGUCAGAGUUAAGCAUCCCGUUCUCCAAGGGGAUGAUAGGAUAGGGGCUCCUUCACAUUCUGUAUUGUGAAAACAGGC
ensembl:lncRNA LOC100912209 uncharacterized LOC100912209